rnacentral:tRNA from 1 species
GGAGAGGUGGAUGAGUGGUUUAAGUCGCACGCCUGGAAAGCGUGUUUAGGAUCAUAUCCUAACGCGGGUUCGAAUCCCGCCUUCUCCGCCA